GAUGAACGCUGGCGGCGUGCUUAACACAUGCAAGUCGAACGAUGAAGCCCAGCUUGCUGGGUGGAUUAGUGGCGAACGGGUGAGUAACACGUGAGUAACCUGCCCUUAACUCUGGGAUAAGCCUGGGAAACUGGGUCUAAUACCGGAUAGGAGCGUCCACCGCAUGGUGGGUGUUGGAAAGAUUUAUCGGUUUUGGAUGGACUCGCGGCCUAUCAGCUUGUUGGUGAGGUAAUGGCUCACCAAGGCGACGACGGGUAGCCGGCCUGAGAGGGUGACCGGCCACACUGGGACUGAGACACGGCCCAGACUCCUACGGGAGGCAGCAGUGGGGAAUAUUGCACAAUGGGCGCAAGCCUGAUGCAGCGACGCCGCGUGAGGGAUGACGGCCUUCGGGUUGUAAACCUCUUUCAGUAGGGAAGAAGCGAAAGUGACGGCACCUGCAGAAGAAGCACCGGCUAACUACGUG
rnacentral:rRNA from 1 species